UUUCUUAUGUUUUUUAAACAAAAAAUAAUACAUGUAGUUAGUUAAAAGUCAUUGUUGUCAAUAAAACAUCACGCAUAUUAAUAUUGUAUAAUAGUAUAUCAUACAUUAUAUAUAUAUAUAUGAAAGUUUAAUGUAUAUAAUUGUGUAAUACACAUUACGUUUCAACAACUAUUUACUAUAAUAGUUGCCAAAUUACAUAGUAUAUACACACCCACAAUAUUUGUAUAAGGAGUAUGAAUAAGGAUAAGACGCCUUCAACACCCACUUCUCAUAUAAGCAUUAAUUUUCGAUUCAUUCCUAGAAGACGUCCUCAACACCCACUUGCAGUCUUUGUUACGACAAAUCAGUACAUAGCUGCAUAAAUUUUUUUAAACCGAGUCAGUGGAUUAAACAAACAUGUUAAAAAUAAUAAAACAAAAAAAAUGCAAUUUCUGUCACUGCGGCAAUUUUCAUUAUACACAUAAAUGAAUGUAUAAUCAAAUAUUAUACAUUCGAAUGUUUACUGGAUUGGUACAAUUUUCAUUACACAAUGAUUUGAAUGUAUAACAACAUAUUAUACAUUCGUAAGUUAACUGGAAUGACACAGUUUUAUAUUAUAUAUCGGCUUUAAUGUAUGCUAACAUAUUAUACAAAAAGGAAGCAAAUGUAAUAAUGAAAAGUUAGAACAAACACUUCUUCAAAACCUCAAAGAACAUUAUACACUGACAGGCAAGUAUAAUAAAAUAUUAUACAUUCGUAUAUUUAGCAGGAACAGCAACAAACGAACCAACUUUAGAACAAACACUUCUUCAAAACAUCAAAGAGCAAAUUACCAUAGAAUAUAAGCUUAGCAAAUAGAAUUGAUCAUGAACAUCAAAGUUAGACUCCUCAACAUCAAUCUCCUCAUCACUAUAAUCAUUAUCCACCACAGAAUUCGGCUCAAUCUGAUUCUGUGAGGCAACUACUUCCAUUCCCACUUCCUUUAGCGGAGCAAAAAAGAAAUAAAGAUCGCCACAGAACUCCAUUUUCACAAACAUCAUCAUCUUGAAAGCAAGUCAAUAACACCGAAAAAUGAAGCAGGACUAAGCAGCUAAUACACAAAAUCCACAGAUUAUUCUAUCUUCUUCCAAUAUUCAGAGCAGAAUUUAUUGAAAUCUAUCCAAUUACAUGAGUCUCCAAAUAGGUAAAUAAGUAAAUCUAACUAAAUAUUUCUAAAACUAAAAUAACACAAAAUAAUAAAAAAUGGAGUUCAAUCAAAUCUGCAAGAACACACCAAUCAUCAAAAGAAGAUCCAAGAACUUGGCAUAUUUUUCUAGAUCUAAAAUAUCAAAUUAAUGUAACUUACCUAACUAUAUGACUAAUUCAACAAAAGUGAAAAAAAUAAAAAUCAUAUAUUCAACAAAAUCAAGAACAGAAAACACAUAAAAAUUCAAUCUUGAAGCAAAAGCUCAAAUAUUUACAUCAAAUUUAAAGAUCAAACACAAUUAUUUUAAUAACAGAAUAAACCCCAUAUGAAAAACCAACACCAAAUCUCAGCAAAGAUCUCAACAUUACCAUAGAAAAAUAAAUAUUUUCAAGAAAUAAUUGUACAGAGAAGGAAGAAGAAUACCUCAAAAAUAUUGUACUACUUUUUUUGCCAAAAUCAGUGUUUCACAUGUGUAAUGAUUAAAAGAGAGAAAGUUAAAAGAAAAGGGAUCUAUGUGGGAGCAUAUGGGGGAGUAAAUUACAAUAGAGAUAUUGGAAUUGUGAGAUGUAUAAUGUUUAAGAGAGAGAAAGUUGAA
rnacentral:lncRNA from 1 species